UCAAUUUCUUUGUUCUUCUUCACUUCUUUAGUCUCCACAGAGAAACUAUGGUUGCAAUCGCCACCGCCAUGAUUUAAUAGAAUUAGGGGAAGAAAUUAAUUUAUUGUUGUUGAAUCGAAGAUUGGUAUGAGAAUAUGAAGAUUUGAUUAAAGAGAUUGAUCUGGUGGUGUUGCUGAAGGGAAAUUAGAGAAUGGAGUGAAUUGCUGAUAGAGGAUGAGAAGAAGCGAAGAACAAGGAAGAAUAAAUUGAGAGAUUAAAAGUGUUGUGAUGGGUUCUUAGGGAUUGAAUCUGUUAGUGGUGUUUGAUUUGUUGUUGAUUUGAGUAAGAAAUAAAAAUUAGGGUUCUUACUUCUUAGGAUGAUUUGUAUUGAAACUGAAGAACUGGGUUAUGAAGCUUGUGUUCACUGGUUUGAUUGUAUUUGAUUACUAAAUUUGAUUUUUUAUUUUUUCUA